CCCUGCCUUUUGUACACACCGCCCGUCGUUGUUUCCGAUGAUGGUGGAAUGCAGGUGAUCGGACUGGCCUCGGCCGGAAAGACCACCGACAUUUCUUCAAUAGAGGAAGCAAAAGUCGUAACAAGGUA
rnacentral:rRNA from 1 species